GCAAAUGAGACCACCGCCUGUGACACAGCCUCGGAAUACACAAAUGACAAGGCACACGGCUCAUAGAUAGGAUACCGACUACAAUAGAUGAAGCAUAACCACAACAUCUCACAACACGCUCCAGCACUGUAUGCUAACAGCACUAGUAAACUCCACAUAAACACACAAAUGUAUGGACAGCUAUAAGGGUAACAGGAUGUUCCGCUAUAUCAAACAGCCCAACAAGAGUACGCCAAAGAGAGACAUCCUAUAGCCACCUACACAAAACUAUGUCCCCU